UAAUACGUAGGUGGCAAGCGUUGUCCGGAUUUACUGGGCGUAAAGAGCGCGCAGGCGGUCUUGUAAGUCGAAUGUGAAAGCCCCUGGCUCAACUGGGGAGGGUCAUUCGAUACUGCUCGACUCGAAGGCAGGAGAGGGAAGUGGAAUUCCGGGUGUAGUGGUGAAAUGCGUAGAUAUCCGGAGGAACACCAGUGGCGAAGGCGACUUUCUGGCCUGUUCUUGACGCUGAGGCGCGAAAGCUAGGGGAGCAAACGGG
rnacentral:rRNA from 1 species